rfam:Myotis davidii contig125781, whole genome shotgun sequence.
GAUGGUUCUUGGGUGACACACCCUGGAAUCGGGGUCCCUCCUCUCUGACUCCAGGUGCGUCACCCAAGAACCGCA